rnacentral:rRNA from 1 species
UACGUAGGGGGCUAGCGUUGUCCGGAAUCAUUGGGCGUAAAGAGCGUGUAGGCGGCCCGGUAAGUCCGCUGUGAAAGUCAAAGGCUCAACCUUUGAAUGUCAGCGGAUACUGCCGGGCUAGAGUCCGGAAGAGGAGAGUGGAAUUCCUGGUGUAGCGGUGAAAUGCGCAGAUAUCAGGAAGAACACCAAUGGCGAAGGCAGCUCUCUGGGACGGUACUGACGCUGAGACGCGAAAGCGUGGGGAGCGAACAGG